rnacentral:lncRNA from 1 species
CCCCAUCCAAAAUGUUUCCGACAAAAAUCUGGCACUCCUGGUUCUAAUCAAAAUACUGAACUUUGGAACAAAUUAACAUUCCGCAGCCUCGCAGGGAAGGGGGAACUCAGCCGAGACAACUUCGGCUCACAACCAUAACAAAAAUAGCUCCUCCUGGGGAAGACACAUUCUGCUAACAAGGUCACUUUUGUUUGGCUUCUCCUGCCAUCUGGCUGAGUGGCACCAGGGGCUGGCUCUGGGACCAGCUAAAUUCUGCAGCGUGGAUGGGAGCCGGGUGGCACCGCAGAAGGCUUCUCAGCCUCCUGGCAAGAAAAGUCGGUGCAAAGUUACCUUCAGACAUCUCCAGAAAGUGCACAGGCAGAUGGAGCCCUGGUUUCACCCGGCCCUGCUCUGCUCGGCUCUGCACUCGAAGCUUGAGGGAGGUGUCACUCCAGAGACAGCAACAAGCAGGUGGGGACUGGAGAAGGAGGCGGCAGGGUGGGAGAGCUAUCUUUACCUCACAGAACAUUCCAGAACCCAGUGCUGGCUCCCGGGGGCUGGGAGUCUGAGUUACAGGAGGAAGGGGACAAGCGGGGCUUUAGUUUUCUCCUCCUUCUUCUCCUCCUCUCCUUCCUCCCACUCCUCCUCCUGGGACCACGGGGACAUUCAACAACCUGCCUCUCCCCCAGGUCCUCAUCUGUAGAAUGGAAACCACUUGCUCAGACCCUGAGCAGCUAUGCGGAAAGGGGACAAGGAGGGCGAAUGUCAUUGCCUAGAGCACCUGGCUGAGGUCCUCUGGAGAGAACGCUCUGGAAUUCUGAGCUCUGUGUUCGUUCCAAGAGGGCUUGCAAGCUUCUGCAGCACUCGACAUGACCCAGAUGGUCUGGCUGGAACUCUCUGUGUGUGAGGUGCAGGGCUGAGUCUUGAACAUUGGUACUUUUCCUUUUCCCCCGAAAGAUGAUGCUUCUUUGAUGCCAGUAAUUUUGUCUUUUAAAGUAGCUUGAAAAACAAUGAAUGUAGACACAAAAUAUUGCUUACAACUAUAAGGAGUUUGUGACAUACUGAAGCCAUCUAUCUCCUAGGAGGAAUCCAAGGGGUCCCAGAAUAUCUCCUGGGGACCAAAGGAGGGGAACAAAAAUCUUCAAUCCCAUAGAGGAAGAGACUUCAAAUGACCUACUCUCAAGGAAAAUAGGUUGAUUACAUAUCUUUUUCAGGAUUUAAUAUUUAAAAAAAAAGACAGAUGAAGGGACUUUGACUUCCAG